GAUGAACGCUGGCGGCGUGCCUAAUACAUGCAAGUCGAGCGAACGGACGAGAAGCUUGCUUCUCUGAUGUUAGCGGCGGACGGGUGAGUAACACGUGGAUAACCUACCUAUAAGACUGGGAUAACUUCGGGAAACCGGGGCUAAUACCGGAUAAUAUUUUGAACCGCAUGGUUCAAAAGUGAAAGACGGUCUUGCUGUCACUUAUAGAUGGAUCCGCGCUGCAUUAGCUAGCUGGUAAGGUAACGGCCUACCAAGGCAACGAUGCAUAGCCGACCUGAGAGGGUGAUCGGCCACACUGGAACUGAGACACGGUCCAGGCUCCUACGGGAGGCAGCAGUAGGGAAUCUUCCGCAAUGGGCGAAAGCCUGACGGAGCAACGCCGCGUGAGUGAUGAAGGUCUUCGGAUCGUAAAACUCUGUUAUUAGGGAAGAACAUAUGUGUAAGUAACUGUGCACAUCUUGACGGUACCUAAUCAGAAAGCCACGGCUAACUACGUG
rnacentral:rRNA from 1 species